UGGGCAACCUGCCCCAGACACUGGGAUAACUCCGGGAAACCGGGGCUAAUACCGGAUACUCUCAGCCGGCCGCAUGACCGGCUGAGGAAAGCUCCGGCGGUCUGGGAUGGGCCCGCGGCCUAUCAGCUUGUUGAUGGGGUAACGGCCUACCAAGGCGACGACGGGUAGCUGGUCUGAGAGGACGGCCAGCCACACUGGGACUGAGACACGGCCCAGACUCCUACGGGA
rnacentral:rRNA from 1 species